rnacentral:rRNA from 1 species
AGGGGGGGCGGUGCUGGGUUUGGCUUGGGGGGUGUGUACUUGCGGUGGUCGUGCUCUGCUAUGUCUGCUCUGGUCGUCGAGGUAGAGGUGUUAAGCACACGGAAGGGGGUGGUGAUGCGCCGAGGGCUCCUCUGCUUAGCUCGGAGGAGGAAGAGGUGAGGGCCAGCGGCGGCGAUGCAGCUAUAACCUUUCCCGAGGCUGUCGAGCUUGUGGCUGAAUUCAACGUACCCCUCUCCUACGGUCUUGACGCGUCGUCAUGAGCGGUUCGUGCAGACUCCAAGUCCUUCGAACUGCUAGUUGUUCGUCUCGGCCGACACUUUGGCCACGGCGGACGAGGUGUCUCUCGUCCCUUCACGCUAGUAUAUGGACGACGGUCCCCGUCUUUCCCACGAGGAACCUCUUCUCACCACGGCCGUGGUUCCGCACGUUCUUUCCCUCGCCUUCAACAACUGAACCUACGAUUGGACCCAAGACUUGUGGAGGGAUUUCGACAACGGUAUGUACGUCAACAAACACUUAGGUUCCUGGGACGAAACUUGUUCCAACGAGUCCCACAGCCGUUAUUUCCAUACUCUUACCUACCACUUUCACGACUCUUCGAACAGCCGCGACUUCUGCUAAGUUGUUAUCGUGGUUAGGGCCUCUCCCAAGUACAUCCAUUAAGAGGACACAUAUAUUGACUGUCCUUUGAUCCAUUUCCACCGAAACCAGUUCACAUACAACCAUCUUCCCAUAGACCACCCUGACGAGCGUGACCAGGAGUACGUAUACUCCAACGUAACUUCAAACUCGUGGCCUCAUCAUUUCCCACGUUAAAACAGGGGGGUAUACUCACCGUUCAAAUAGUCUGAGAGUUGCCGACGAUACCACAUGGCCGUCAGGUGAUAUUCCCGGCCGUCCCGCUGAUGAUAUAGGAACAUUACCUAUAGGAACCAGGGUCAGAAACCCUACAUACCUUAAGCGACCCUGUUCGCUACAGAGGUGUAUACCGACGAACGUAACGACAUCUUCGGUAUAGUUAAGAACUCUUCAAAGUAAGGUUUCCCAAACAAGUACCACUACACUUUGGUCUCUUGAAAGACGAACCAGACGGACCUAGUGGACUCCUCUUCUUCGAAAAGGAAUAACUAGAACCAAAUCGUAGUUUCACCUCUCUAAGCAGUCCAGUUGUACAACUAAUACUAGUUUCCGGACUAUAGAAGUCCCCCUGUUAAUCUAUACGUUCACGAGUACGAGUAGAUCCAGCAUGUCCAUCAUCCUCCCUACUAAAUCUCAGUAACCGUAUGUGGGAAUAUAAAAAUUAUUUUCCUUCUAACGGAACCGUUCCGAUGGUCCCUCUAUGGUUCUCAAAGGAACAAACGUUCUUUUUUUACCGAUGGAGAGGCCUAUACAAUACGUCAAAGACGGGUGGAGGCAAGUUUGUCAAAGAACUCAGACAGUGUUUAUACUUUAAACUACUUCUCGGUUUAAUGCGGUUUGAAUAAAGAGAGAAACUUUCAAACUAACUUAGUGGACGCAGUUCCGGGUAGUCUUAACUACCCCGGGAAUUCCACCCCGUUUUUGCACCUUCCGAUGGACAUUUAGUACUUCUUCUACUAGUCGGAUUCUUCUUUCAAUCUAAUCCCUCGGGUCGUAGUGUCACCUAAAGUCAAAUGUUACGGUCCGCGGGAUACUUCGUCGCCAUAGUAAUGUUACAACGACUGUUGUCCGAAGUUGUCGUAUAUCUUUUCCCAUUACUCCUACCAGAUAUGUAGUCAACACACCGAAGAAGUCGUUUGGAAACCCGAGAGUAAUACCUACGUCCUUGACUAAAGCCAAGAGUCCAAAUACUUGAGAGUGGACAAAAAGAUGUGUUCCUGACCUAUUACCUAGUCACCCUCUUUUCAAAGAUGUAUUGUCGUUAUCGACCUCGUAACUUGCCUUCAAGUAACCAAAAUUACAGAUUUCCUUGAGGAAUGUGAGUUGUUAGCAUGUUCCAAUCGCUUAGUAAGGGGAAGUUCACCUAGUUAUUUUUCACCUUUCUUCCAAAAGUACAUUGUAGAUACCGGUGUCGACCUUUAGCGACCCCUCAUCAGUACAGUUCCUUGAGACCGAUAAGACUUGUCUAACAACUCAACCUAAAGGACAUAGGUUCACUUCCGUAGGUAGCCGCUACCCUCGUACCAAUGUCUUAUUGAAGAAGUCGUCGAUGGCCACUAGUUCGGCGAAAAUAGAACUCGUUCGGUUUUGCCUUUGGUCAUCUGCUCUGUGUUCUUUGAGAUGCCUGGAGUCGGAAAGGGUCGUUGGUACAUUUCCUAUUUACCCGGUUCUUAGAUAUGUAACGAAGCUAGACGAUGCCCUCUUGACAGUCAACUGGUUCUCUCCCUGCAAAUGAUGAAACCGUUUACUCGUAGUCAACUACACUCUAUGUUCUCUUAACGGUACUAUCCUAAGUUUUCGUCUUCAACUACACUACCAAUUAAGCUGGAUUAACAUUUUGGCUUACGUACAACACCUGGAAGAGGUAUUCUACGAUUGUAUUAGGUGUGCUUUAAACGUAAAUAUCAAACCAAUCAAAGUGGAAACGCGACAACCCG